UAACCUUCCCCAAUGAAACUUUAAAUUGUUACAUGGUCAAAACGAAUCACUCCCUCUUCAUUAAUGCAGAGUUACAGCUCAUCAGUCGUUCUUCCUUCAGGUCAGCAGACACAGAGUUGAGAAGAGCUCAGUUCUGAAGAUAAGGAGGGUGGAGACUUGCACAUGUCUUGAGGAGCCCAUGAGAGCUUGGACGAUGCCGUGCUGGAUGUGAGCAAUGGAGGGUCAACGAAGGCACUUCCACCAAGGUAGAGCAGCCAGGAGAGCCUCCCUGAUUUGAGGAGAGGUUAGCCCUUUUUGUAACUGCUGUUUAAGGUUUGAAGGGACAGCUCCUGCCUUCACCACUCCGUCUGGAGGUCCUUUUGGCUAAAGGUCCCUCCAUGGCAGCCAGCAGAGACCACCAGAAGGCAGCGGGAGGUGGCCAUACCUGUGACUGUAACGCAGAGGCACCAACGUGGCCUUUCACACCGGGACGCAAGGCACUGCUCUGCAGCCUCGUCCUGGCAGGACGGAGCUCAGGAAACACCUCCGUGGAGCUGCCGUUCCCUCAUGGGAACGUCCACCCUUGCUCUCCAGUUGUCUGCAAAGAUGGAGCUUUGCUUAGGUUUUCUGCUGAAUUUUCCCAGGUGCUGCCAAGUAAUCCUUGCUCUGCAUUAGGUUCUGGAUUUUUGUGGCAGGUGCUUUAUUAAAUAGGAAACAGAGGGCUAUUUGCAGGAGCUGGUAGGGUUUGCAGCAAUUCUGGUUUUGAGGAAUUGCUUCCCCCUUAGGAUGAAGAUGCUGUCCAUAAACCCAGACUUCUGUUAGUUGAUGUGGUGUGGCUUAAUAGUAAAGGACUACUUAAAACAGUGUAAUGUUUACUAUUUUUACAUACAUUGCAGUCCUUUUCUUUCCACUGCGCACCUCUGAGAUGGUACUCUGAUUAUUG